CGAAGGUGGCGGAAUUGGUAGACGCGCUAGCUUCAGGUGUUAGUGUCCUUACGGACGUGGGGGUUCAAGUCCCCCCCCUCGCACCAC
rnacentral:tRNA from 2 species